UUUUCUGGAUGCAGUUUCGACGUUCGUACUCGUGGUAAGGCAGGGACAACCAAAGCAGACGAUACUACUAGUUUAAUCCGCCAUGAUGAAGUGAAGUGAUACAUAUUCCUACGCCACACGGCGUGCUUGACGAUGAUAGGAUAUAGUUCCUACUCGAUGUACAUUGAUGUAACUAUAUUAUAUUAUAUUAUCACAUCUACCACAAAGCCCCGUAAACUGAACUGACCAGAUGUCCUUUAAGUACUAGUUUAAUAGACUCUCACCAAAGUGACAUUUGUUGUGAAAAUAUCAACACGUUUGAUAAAACGUGAGACCCUUUUAUCACCCAAACUCUUGAACAGUGACGACAGAGAUUUGAUUGUAAAACGAAGAACUAACCAGUUUCUUUAUGAAAAGUAGAAUAGGCAAUAUAUCCCAUUUGAGACAGAGAUUUGAUUGUAAAAAGUAGAACUAACCAGUUUUUUUAUGAAAAGUAGAAUAGGCAAUAUAUCCCAUUUGAGACAGAGAUUUGAUUGUAAAAAGUAGAACUAACCAGUUUCUUUAUGAAAAGUAGAAUAGGCAAUAUAUCCCAUUUGAGACAGAGAUUUGAUUGUAAAAAGUAGAACUAACCAGUUUCUUUAUGAAAAGUAGAAUAGGCAAUAUAUCCCAUUUGAGACAGAGAUUUGAUUGUAAAAAGUAGAACUAACCAGUUUCUUUAUGAAAAGUAGAAUAGGCAAUAUAUCCCAUUUGAGACAGAGAUUUGAUUGUAAAAAGUAGAACUAACCAGUUUCUUUAUGAAAAGUAGAAUAGGCAAUAUAUCCCAUUUGAGACAGAGAUUUGAUUGUAAAAGUAGAACUAACCAGUUUCUUUAUGAAAAGUAGAAUAGGCAAUAUAUCCCAUUUGAGACAGAGAUUUGAUUGUAAAAAGUAGAACUAACCAGUUUCUUUAUGAAAAGUAGAAUAGGCAAUAUAUCCCAUUUGAGACAGAGAUUUGAUUGUAAAAGUAGAACUAACCAGUUUCUUUAUGAAAAGUAGAAUAGGCAAUAUAUCCCAUUUGAGACAGAGAUUUGAUUGUGAAAAGUAGAACUAACCAGUUUCUUUAUGAAAAGUAGAAUAGGCAAUAUAUCCCAUUUGAGACAGAGAUUUGAUUGUGAAAAGUAGAACUAACCAGUUUCUUUAUGAAAAGUAGAAUAGGCAAUAUAUCUCCCAUUUGAGACAGAGAUUUGAUUGUAAAAAGUAGAACUAACCAGUUUCUUUAUGAAAAGUAGAAUAGGCAAUAUAUCCCAUUUGAGACAGAGAUUUGAUUGUGAAAAGUAGAACUAACCAGUUUCUUUAUGAAAAGUAGUAGAAUAGGCAAUAUAUCCCAUUUGAGACAGAGAUUUGAUUGUGAAAAGUAGAACUAACCAGUUUCUUUAUGAAAAGUAGAAUAGGCAAUAUAUCCCAUUUGAGACAGAGAUUUGAUUGUGAAAAGUAGAACUAACCAGUUUCUUUAU